CUCACGGUGGUCGGAGUAAGCGCCGUGUUUUUACUGAUGAGGAGCGAUGUCAAACAGUCUGCCUCAAUCUUCAAGCGUAACGUUCGUCAAAUUCGCCAUUGGCUCGAGGAAGAGUCAGCUUCUGCCGCUAAAAGAGAGCUAUAUGCUUAUCAAUCUGCAUAAACACCGUUGCUCUAGGUCUUAUUGGAGCUCACAGCAUACAGUUUAUAAGUCGAUCAUCUGAUCAUAAGCUACUCAAGGGAAAUGGAAAAGGCAAAGCCAAAGGAGAUACCAAAGAAGGACAUCCCCAAGGAGGACAAGCAGUAGACGUGACUUGUGUUGAAAUUCAUAUCAGAAGCUCUGCAAUUUCCCACCUAAUGUUUGGCAUUUUGGUCCGCUAUCGUUUUGUAGCCCUCAUGUAGUUGCCACUUUAUGGUUGCCAAGGUUAUGACAUCAUAAAUAUACGUUCAAUCUUCUAGGAUGUACAUCAAUUAUGCAGUAACAUCAAGAUACUUGAAGAGAUUUGCAAGAUAUUGUGAUGGAAAUAUUGGUUUUUAUGCAAUAACCGGUAUAAUCGAAAAAGACAGUAAUGUUUAUUAGGUUAAAUGGUUUUGUAAAUUUUUUUAUUUUAUUUGUUAUUAGAUUGGUUUCCGUAAUUGUUAAAUUGGUAACUCAAAAAAAGAUUAUCUGAAAUUUAUUAUUUUACUUCGAAUUGUAUAACAAUGAAUUUAAUGUUAUCUAUAUCCUAUUUCAUAAA